UACGGAGGGUGCGAGCGUUGUCCGGAAUCAUUGGGCGUAAAGGGCGCGUAGGUGGUGACCUAAGCGUGCGGUGAAAGCCCGAGGCUCAACCUCGGGUCGGCCGUGCGAACUGGGUCACUGGAGCAGAAUAGAGGCAGGUGGAAUUCCGGGUGUAGCGGUGGAAUGCGUAGAGAUCCGGAAGAACACCGGUGGCGAAGGCGGCCUGCUGGGUUCUGGCUGACACUGAGGCGCGACAGCGUGGGGAGCAAACAGG
rnacentral:rRNA from 1 species